AUCUAUAGCCAUGCCACCCUGAACAAACCUGAUCAUAUCUGAUCUUAGAAGCUAAGCAGGGUCGGGCCUGUUUAACACUUGAAUGGGAGACCACCUAGGAAGACCAGGUGCUAUAGGCU
rnacentral:rRNA from 1 species